UACGUAGGGGGCAAGCGUUGUCCGGAAUCAUUGGGCGUAAAGCGCGUGUAGGCGGUUUAGUAAGUCUGCUGUGAAAGGCCAGGGCUCAACCCUGGGAUGCCGGUGGAUACUGCUGGGCUAGAGUACGGAAGAGGCGAGUGGAAUUCCCGGUGUAGCGGUGAAAUGCGCAGAUAUCGGGAGGAACACCUAUUGCGAAGGCAGCUCGCUGGGACGUUACUGACGCUGAGACGCGAAAGCGUGGGGAGCAAACAGG
rnacentral:rRNA from 1 species